UGUGCGUAUGCACAAAAGCCACAAAAUCAUGUGUACGUACGAACGACAACCUGUGCGUACGCACAAGAGGAAAAUCAGCAUAUGUGCGGACGCACACACCUAUACGUCCGCACACGUCCCAGCGCGUGACUCAUUUAAUGGAAAUCGCUGGGAGAAAUUUCUUGGCCUCCAGAUCCCAGUUUUUGGACCUUCUGAAGUUGAUUCUUCCUAUAUUAGACAAGGCCUCACUCCACGUGAAGGGGGAGCAAUUAGGUUUAUGUUUUUACAAAU